rnacentral:rRNA from 1 species
UUUGACAUGGCUCAGGACGAACGCUGGCGGCGUGCCUAAUACAUGCAAGUCGAGCGAGACUCUUCGGAGUCUAGCGGCGGACGGGUGAGUAACACGUGGGCAACCUGCCUGUAAGACUGGGAUAACACCGGGAAACCGGUGCUAAUACCGGAUAAUCCUUUUCCUCUCAUGAGGAAAAGCUGAAAGUCGGUUUCGGCUGACACUUACAGAUGGGCCCGCGGCGCAUUAGCUAGUUGGUGAGGUAACGGCUCACCAAGGCGACGAUGCGUAGCCGACCUGAGAGGGUGAUCGGCCACACUGGGACUGAGACACGGCCCAGACUCCUACGGGAGGCAGCAGUAGGGAAUCUUCCACAAUGGACGAAAGUCUGAUGGAGCAACGCCGCGUGAGCGAUGAAGGCCUUCGGGUCGUAAAGCUCUGUUGUUAGGGAAGAACAAGU